rnacentral:lncRNA from 1 species
ACGGUCUGCCGCAACAAUCUACCGGAAAGAGGAUCAGCAGAUUGCUAAAUUUGUGAAUGGGCUGGAAGUAGCGAUUCGAGAUCAAGUAUCCUUACAAACUCUACAUCACUAAAUGAAGCUGUGACGUAGCCAGGAAAGUCGAAUCCCAAUAGAACCGGAAAAACACGGAUUCCAGUUUUCUAAUAGGGGAAAAACAGCCAGAUACCUUAUCGCAGCCCAACCGGUGACAAACAGGGGAGCAGAUGGAAGGCAGUAACAACAGGGUCAACUACACGUCAAGGUGUAAUCUAACCAUACGCCAAGCCUCAGGAGAUAAGUGCCUACAGUGUGGUGAACCUGAAUAUCGCUCGAAUACGUGUCCAAAAAGGGCAACAGUGAACUAGUGGAAGCCAGUACCAGAGGAGGAGGAUGGUGAGAUGACGAGGGUGAUGCCGACCCUUAUUCUUAUGACCAUAAUGAGUUUCAAGAUGACGAAGAGGGUGAGUACUGGGUCGAUUCUGAUGAUCCAAAAGUUGUUGCUGACACCUAAGAGAGUAGAUUCUAGCCAGCGCCACAAGAUCAUUUCGAGGACGUGCUUACCAUCAACAAGCGGGUCGGAUCUCACAUUGAUAGCGGGAAUGGAGAGACAUAGCCUGAAAAGUUUGGUUACAAAAGUUAGGUCUAAGAAACAGAGAAGCACACGGGACCCCUACACGAUUGGAUGGAUUAAGAAAGGAGUGGAAGUUAAGGUAACUGAUACUUGUCGAAUAAAGUUUUCAAUUGGUAAGUACUAUGUGGACGAAGUGGUGGCGAAGUGGUUGAUAUGACCGUGUCACCUUCUUUUGGGGAGGCAGACAACAUGAUGUGGAUGCUAUGCAUAAGGGGAAGACCAACGUUACGUAUUCUAUCAGAAUGACAAGAGGGUCGUCCUUGGUCGCUCAGGAGAGUAGUAUUCCUAAGGUUCCCAAGGAGGGGAGGAAAAUCAUCUGUCUUGCUGGUUCAUAAUGAAGAUGAGUUCGACGAAGAGGCCAGGGAAUCCAACAGAUGUUUUGCGAUGGACUUACAGAAGAACACCCCCCCCCCCAAACACCCCAGAAGUUCCAGUAGUAGUACAACCUCUAAUCAAAGAAGUUCCAGGAUUUGUUCCUGACGAGUUACCUACGGGGUUGCCACCUAUGCGGAUAUUCAGCAAUGUAUUGAUUUAGUACCUGGAGCAAAGUCUGCCCCAUCUUCACCAUUAUCGGUGGUACUAAGGAGAGUCGAUUCUACAAGAGCCAAGUGGAGGGACCUAGUCAGAAAGGGGCAGAUUAGGGAGAGCAUGAAGUCCAUGUGCCGUACCAGCCCUAUUAAAAAAAACACCAAGAAGAUGGUAGUUAGCGUUGUGUCGUGGACAGCCGCCCGCCAUCAAUAAGAUUACGGUCAAGUAUAGAUUUCCUAUUCCGCAUUUAGAUGUAUGUUUGACAUGCUGAGUGGGUCAAAGUUAUUCGAAGCUUGAUCUCAAAAGUGGCUACCAUCAGAUCCGUAUUCGAGCAGGCGACGAGUGGAAAACGGAGUUCAAGACAAGGAAGGGCUUACGAGUGGAUGUGUGCCGUUGGAAUGUCCAACGCCCAAGCACUUUUAUGAAGACUAUGAAUCAGGUUCUAAAACCUUUUAUUGGCAAAUUAUAGUUGUAUAUUUUGAGGAAUAUUGAUGUUAUAGCAGAAUGACUACGAUCAUAUAACCAGUCCGAGAGGUGUUGACGGUCCUAUCCGCAAAAGCUGUACAUCAACCUGAAGAAGUGCAGCUUCAGACUGAUAGCUGUUGUUCUAGGGGUACGUCGUUAGUGCUAAGGGAUUCAUGUGGAUGAGGCUAAGGGUCCGAGCUAUCAGGAGUGGCCAUCCCCCAAAACAGUCAGCGGACGUAAGGAGCUUCCAUGGGCCUAGCACUUUCUACAGGAGGUGUUCGGAAUUUUAGCAGUAUAGUAGCCCCGAUCACUGAAUGCAUGAAGAAGGGCAGUUCUCAUGGGCCGGAGAAGCAGCAGAACCAUAGUUUUGCAGUCAUCAAAGAAAAGCUGAGUACUGUCCAGGAUCUUGCUUUGCCCAACUUUGAGAAGCUGUUUCAAGUGGAAUGUGACGUGUCAGUAGUGGGUGUUGGAGCUUGCUCUCACAAGGGGCAAUGCCAGUGGCCUUUUUCAGUUGAGAAGCUUUGUGAAGCACGGCGCAAGUGGUCUGCUAUGAGUUAGAACUAUAUGCAGUGGUGCGGUCCCUUAGGCAUGGGAGCAUACAUAGUCCAGAGGGAGUUUGUCUUAUUCACGGAUCAUCAGGCCCUGAAAUUCAUCAAUAAGUCAGUGCUAUCAAACGGAUGCAUGCUCGGUGGGUAGGCCUAUAUCCAACGAUUCUCUUUUUCAUUGAAACAUAAGUCUGGCAUUUCUAAUAAAGUGGCGGACGCCUCAGUCGAAGAGCAUCAUUCCAGUGACCUUGCGAAAACAAGAGUGGUUAGUUUGAUUGGCUGAGGAGUUGUACGAGGCGGAUAAAGGACUUGG